rnacentral:rRNA from 1 species
GACGAACGCUGGCGGCGUGCUUAACACAUGCAAGUCGAACGGAAAGGCCCUGCUUUUGUGGGGUGCUCGAGUGGCGAACGGGUGAGUAACACGUGAGUAACCUGCCCUUGACUUUGGGAUAACUUCAGGAAACUGGGGCUAAUACCGGAUAGGAGCUCCUGCUGCAUGGUGGGGGUUGGAAAGUUUCGGCGGUUGGGGAUGGACUCGCGGCUUAUCAGCUUGUUGGUGGGGUAGUGGCUUACCAAGGCUUUGACGGGUAGCCGGCCUGAGAGGGUGACCGGCCCCCUUGGGGCUGGGAUACGGCCCAGCCUCCUACCGGAGGCAAGAGUGGGGAAUAUUACACCAUGGGCGGGAGCCUGGUGCAAGCACGCCGCGUGCGGGAAGACGGCCUUCGGGUUGUAAACCGCUUUCGCCUGUGACGAAGCGUGAGUGACGGUAAUGGGUAAAGAAGCACCGGCUAACUACGUG